rnacentral:rRNA from 1 species
ACGGAAGGCAGCAGUGGGGGAUAUUGCACAAUGGAGGAAACUCUGAUGCAGCGACGCCGCGUGAGGGAAGACGGUUUUCGGAUUGUAAACCUCUGUCUUAUGGGAAGAAAAAAAUGACGGUACCAUAAGAGGAAGCCACGGCUAACUACGUGCCAGCAGCCGCGGUAAGACGUAGGUGGCAAGCGUUGUCCGGAAUUACUGGGUGUAAAGGGAGCGUAGGCGGCUAAUCAAGUUAAAUGUGCAAGGCGAUGGCUUAACUAUCGUAAGCGUUUAAAACUGAAUAGCUUGAGAUAGAUAGAGGCAGGCGGAAUUCCUAGUGUAGCGGUGAAAUGCGUAGAUAUUAGGAGGAACACCAGUGGCGAAAGCGGCCUGCUGGGUCUAAACUGACGCUGAGGCUCGAAAGCGUGGGUAGCAAACAGGAUUAGAUACCCUGGUA